CUCUCUCCAGACCUCUGGACAGAAG
rnacentral:misc_RNA from 1 species